rnacentral:rRNA from 1 species
UACGGAGGAUCCGAGCGUUAUCCGGAAUUAUUGGGUUUAAAGGGUGCGUAGGCGGCCAUUUAAGUCAGCGGUGAAAUUUUGCAGCUUAACUGUAACAGUGCCGUUGAUACUGUUUGGCUAGGAUUUGGUUGUAGUGUGCGGAAUGUGUGGUGUAGCGGUGAAAUGCUUAGAUAUCACACAGAACACCGAUUGCUAAGGCAGCACACUAAGUCAUUAUUGACGCUGAGGCACGAAAGUGUGGGGAUCAAACAGGAUUAGAUA